UGUCUUUAUGGCAAAUGUGAGAUGCAGUGUAUGGAAUGUCAAAUUUCUAGUAUGAGAAAUUAACGAUUUAAGUCCUUCUUAAAUGAGGCCAUUUACCCAUAGAGGGUGCCAGGCCCGUAUAACGUUAAUGAUUACUAGAUGGCAUUUCCAAAGAGUCGUGUUGCUUGAUAGUGCAGCACUAAGUGGGUGGUAAACUCCAUCUAAAACUAAAUAUAACCAUGAGACCGAUAGCAAACAAGUACCGUGAGGGAAAGUUGAAAAGAACUCUGAAUAGAGAGUUAAAUAGUACGUGAAACUGCUUAGAGGUUAAGCCCGAUGAACCUGAAUAUCCAUUAUGGAAAAUUCAUCAUCAUGAUCUUAAUAUUUAUAAAAUAUUAUAAUAAUGGUGUGCAUUUUUUCUAUAACGGACAUUGUAAUCUAUUAACAUAAACAUAUAUUUAUCAUAAGAUCAAUGAUGCGUAAGUUUAUUCAAAUUAUUUUGCUUGCAAUUUAACAUAGAAUAAAUGCUCUUGAUUUGAUAAAGUGUUGAUAGAUUUAUUGUAUAUAGUGCUUAAAUAUUUAUAUUUUAUAAUAGCAUAUUAAUCAUUCGGUUAUUUAUGUUUAUUAUAUGCACUUAUAUGAUUAACAAUGCGAAAGAUUCAGGAUACCUUCGGGACCCGUCUUGAAACACGGACCAAGGAGUCUAACAUAUUUGCAAGUUAUUGGGUUUUCUAAACCUAAUAGCGAAAUUAACAUAACUUUUAUGGGAUUAGUUUUUAGAUUAUUUUUUAGUCUAUUAAUUCAAUCCCGGGGCGUUCUAUAUGGUUAUGUAUAAUAAUAUUUAUAUUAUUUAUACCUCUAACCAGAGCGUACCUUGAGCAUAUAUGCUGUGACCCGAAAGAUGGUGAACUAUACUUGAUCAGGUUGAAGUCAGGGGAAACCCUGAUGGAAGACCGAAACAGUUCUGACGUGCAAAUCGAUUGUCA
rnacentral:rRNA from 1 species